ensembl:lncRNA novel transcript
UUUAGUUUUAUCUUUGUUACCUCUUUAAUCAUAAAUGCUCUUUCAUAAUCAACUUUUUAAUUUCCCUCUCUAUGCUUCGUGUUAGACUUAAUCACAUCAUUGCUUUUGUUACCCAAAAUGGCGGCAUACAGGUGGAUUGAAAUGGAAUCAAAUACAAAGAAGUCUGCAGGAUUUUCAUGGGAGUUGCACAGGCUCUAGGGACAACAGCAUGGACUAAAAGGCACUGAAAUUACCCCAAACACAAAGAGAUCUGCAGGCUUCCAGAUUAUCUUGGGGUAGGGGCAGACUGGGAAAUCUACCCAGCCACUGAAAUGGCUCCUUUCUUCAGAAAUCCAGAUGCCACAUAAGGUGAUGGAGAAGAAAGGACAUCUCAGAGUGUGAACCCAGGAGCCAUGCAGACCAGUGGACUGAGGAAUGACUCUGGGGGUCAAU